AGUGAACGCUGGCGGUAGGCCUAACACAUGCAAGUCGAACGGCAGCACCGUAAGAGCUUGCUCUUACGGGUGGCGAGUGGCGGACGGGUGAGGAAUACAUCGGAAUCUACUUUUUCGUGGGGGAUAACGUAGGGAAACUUACGCUAAUACCGCAUACGACCUACGGGUGAAAGCAGGGGAUCUUCGGACCUUUCGCGAUUGAAUGAGCCGAUGUCGGAUUAGCUAGUUUGCGGGGUAAAGGCCCACCAAGGCGACGAUCCGUAGCUGGUCUGAGAGGAUGAUCAGCCACACUGGAACUGAGACACGGUCCAGACUCCUACGGGAGGCAGCAGUGGGGAAUAUUGGACAAUGGGCGCAAGCCUGAUCCAGCCAUACCGCGUGGGUGAAGAAGGCCUUCGGGUUGUAAAGCCCUUUUGUUGGGAAAGAAAAGCAGCAGGUUAAUACCCCGCUGUUCUGACGGUACCCAAAGAAGAAGCACCGGCUAACUUCGUG
rnacentral:rRNA from 1 species